rnacentral:rRNA from 1 species
GACGAACGCUGGCGGCGUGCCUAAUACAUGCAAGUAGAACGCUGAAGGAGGAGCUUGCUCUUCUGGAUGAGUUGCGAACGGGUGAGUAACGCGUAGGUAACCUGCCUGGUAGCGGGGGAUAACUAUUGGAAACGAUAGCUAAUACCGCAUAACAUUGACUAUUGCAUGAUAGUCAAUUAAAAGGUGCAAAUGCACCACUACCAGAUGGACCUGCGUUGUAUUAGCUAGUUGGUGGGGUAACGGCUCACCAAGGCGACGAUACAUAGCCGACCUGAGAGGGUGAUCGGCCACACUGGGACUGAGACACGGCCCAGACUCCUACGGGAGGCAGCAGUAGGGAAUCUUCGGCAAUGGACGGAAGUCUGACCGAGCAACGCCGCGUGAGUGAAGAAGGUUUUCGGAUCGUAAAGCUCUGUUGUAAGAGAAGAACGAGUGUGAGAGUGGAAAGUUCACACUGUGACGGUAUCUGACCAGAAAGGGACGGCUAACUACGUG